rnacentral:rRNA from 1 species
CGUGUGAAGUGUCCGGGAGUAGUAGAAGGUAGGAAGGUUUUUGUAGUGAACGUAUCAACGUACGUUGGGUUGUUUUUUAGACUGAUCCUUUACAGUUCACUGUUCCUGUACCCCCCGGUUGUGUGAAACGUUUUUGUUGGGGUCGUGACAGGAACACUAGAGGUUGGUCCCCGGGUCCGUGUUAUUGGUUCGUAGGUGUUCCCGGACCAACGUUUUCAACGUACGAAAUAAUAAGGUGUUUCAGGUUAUGAUCAGGAACCCCUUAACCGUGUUCCUCUCUCUUUCACUGUCUCUCUCCAUCUCUCUCUCUAUCCCCCUCCCACCCUCUCCUCUGGGACUGGUUACGGUUCUUGUUCUUCUCUAGUCACUCUUCCGGUCCGCUUUUAGGGGUGGCCCGCUCUUCUCUGCUCGAGGCCGGAGGAGGCUCUUGUUCUUGUUCUUCCUUAGGGCCUCGUGCUCCCUUCUUAUUUCGCCCGCCUCCUCUGGCCUUUCCGGCUCCUCUUUUUUCGAGAACUAACUACCUCUUCCCCUACCUAGGCCGCGACGACCUGUUGUAGUAGCGGUCCGACGACCUCCACUUCUCGGAGUUCGGGCCCUUCUUGCGCGUCGACAGGCUCAGCCUCUAGUUCGUCGAGACGCGGCGGAGGUUCCUCUAGAAGGAGCGCGUCGGGUUGGAGGACCUCGAGCUCCGGGGGUAGUUUUAGACGCCACUACAGGUACCGGUUAUAAGACUAGAGGACUCCGAGAAACUUAUACCACCUAUAGGAGGAGUCAGGUUGAUAGAAAAGAACCCGCUAAUACACCUGGCCCCUUUCGUCUCGGAACUCUGUUAUACGGAAGAAAACCGUAUAUUCCAGUUCAUAGGACUCUUGAAGAAAGAAGAUUCCCCGUUGGUACUUACACGUAGUCAUUUGGCGUAGAUACCCAAGAUACUACUCACGUUCGCGUCUAAGUCACAUUUUGAGACCUUUUGUAAAUGUCUGACAAAAUUGACGAAUGGCCAUAGUCGCAACUAUCUACUUUUCUAAGAUACAUACGUACCUCCAGAAAGGGGUCUCAACUUGUUCGACCUAGUUUAUGAGUUGGAGUUAGCGGGGUGUCUACACGGACUAUGACCCAAUGAAACACUAGAAGAAACCAGGCUAGGAAGCUUACUUCGCGUUCCCACCCGAUACUUACUAGCUCCACAGAGUAUAUGUAAACCUGGACUAUUUCACCGACUUAAAGAACUCUUCGUACUAAAUCUGGAGUAGACGGCUCGGGUAGUCCAACAACUCCUACCGAUGCUCAAGAAACGACUAGCAGUCGAUCAUUGUUAUAAAAGCCGUGGAUUAAUGACACCUCUUAAGCUAUUACGACCACGGUACUACUCACAUCUGCUCUGCGACUACACGAGGAAGGUUUAUGAGUUUGGGCGUUCCUUUUACAACGGACCAAGUUGAUUAUUGUUCAGACCUAAGUUCAGUUACUCUCCUACCACUGCCACCGUGCCGCUAACCACUCGUUCGACACCAGAGUAGACGUCCGUCCGUGCACGGAUGAUGCUCGCCGACGCUGAUUGGCCGCAAAAGCGGCUACGGAGCUCGGGCCUGGCCUUGUUCUUGCGUCUAACAUGUUGAGAGAGCAGCUACCUGACAUGUAGCAAGUACAGCCUAAUUGUGAACAACAUUACAUAAUAACAAAAAGAUGGCACGCCUAGAGAAAUAGCAUGCUCUCCUGCUACACUUACUUUGACAACGAGGAGGAAGGGGGGGAGAUUUAAGCCUAAGUCCGUCCGUAUAUGCGGUUAUUUUUGACCAUUCUCAGAACCCACGACCGACACCCUAGAACUCUCUGUCCCUCUUUGUAACGGGUACCAAGACUUAAGCUCGAACAAGCUUAGACGUCAAACGUACCAAACUCGAAACGCGUUCUUAGAGCUACGUGGAGUCGUAAACAACAGCAACGACAAGGUAAAUCGACACACAGACUUAUAUG